rnacentral:rRNA from 1 species
CAUUUGCCAAGAAUGUUUCCAUUAAUCAAGAACGAAAGUUAGAGGUUCGAAGGCGAUCAGAUACCGCCCUAGUUCUAACCAUAAACGAUGCCAACCAGCGAUCCGCCUGGGUUCCUCAAAUGACUCGGCGGGCAGCUUCCGGGAAACCAAAGUGUUUGGGUUCCGGGGGGAGUAUGGUUGCAAAGCUCAAACUUAAAGGAAUUGACGGAGGGGCACCACCAGGAGUGGAUUUUGCGGUUUAAUUUGACUCAACACGGGAAAACUUACCCGGCCCGGACACCGGAAGGAUUGACAGAUUAAGAGCUCUUUCUUGAUUCGGUGGGUGGUGGUGCAUGGCCGUUCCUAGUUGGUGGAGCGAUUUGUCUGGUUAAUUCCGUUAACGAACGAGACUCUAGCCUGCUAAAUAGGCGUUCCGAUCCCUUGAGUCGGACGUUCUUCUUAGAGGGACAAGCGGCGUUCAGCCGCGCGAGACAGAGCGAUAACAGGUCUGAGAUGCCCUUAGAUGUCCGGGGCCACACGCGUGCUACACUGAAGGAAUCAGCGUGUGCUUUCCCUGUCCGGCAGGACUGGGUAACCCGUUGAACCUCCUUCGUGAUAGGGAUAGGGGCUUGUAAUUGUUCCCCUUGAACGAGGAAUUCCCAGUAAGCGCGAGUCAUAAGCUCGCGUUGAUUAGGUCCCUGCCCCUUGUCCACACCGCCCGUCGCUACUAGCGAUUGAACGAUGGGGUGAGGUCUUCGGACCGGCGCACGGAGCGGUCUAACCGCCGCGCCGUCGUGCCAGAAAGAUGACCGAACUUGAUCGUUUAGAGCAAGUAAAAGUCG